GACGAACGCUGGCGGCGUGCUUAACACAUGCAAGUCGAACGGAAAGGCCCCUUUGGGGGUACUCGAGUAGCGAACGGGUGAGUAACACGUGAGUAACCUGCCCUUGACUUCGGGAUAACUUCAGGAAACUGGGGCUAAUACCGGAUAGGAAUCCUUGCUGCAUGGUGGGGGUUGGAAAGCUUCGGCGGUUUUGGAUGGACUCGCGGCUUAUCAGCUUGUUGGUGGGGUAGUGGCUUACCAAGGCUUUGACGGGUAGCCGGCCUGAGAGGGCGACCGGCCACAUUGGGACUGAGAUACGGCCCAGACUCCUACGGGAGGCAGCAGUGGGGAAUAUUGCACAAUGGGCGGAAGCCUGAUGCAGCAACGCCGCGUGCGGGAUGACGGCCUUCGGGUUGUAAACCGCUUUCAGCAGGGGCGAAGCUUGUGGUGACGGUACCUGCAGAAGAAGCACCGGCUAACUACGUG
rnacentral:rRNA from 1 species